rnacentral:lncRNA from 1 species
CCCUUCUUUCUCUAGGAUUCGUUCCUGUUUCCUGAAGAGCCUGCGGCAGGACUUUCCUGUUGUGAUGUCGGGGGAUCUCUAGACUAGCAUUUGCAGGUCCUUCAAGAUGAUAAGGUCCGGAGAGAGAGAUCGACGACAGAGGGCUUGCAUCACACAUGGGAACAUGGGAAGGCUCAAUUGCAAGUAGUUCCAAGUAACGGAAGAAAUAAAAGGUCCAAUUCCUCAUUUAGCCAGGCAUGGAAGAUUGCCACUAGUUUGAGGCCAGUCUGGGUUACAGAGUGAGACCUUGUCUCAAAAACAAACAAGAAACAUGAACCCAGACGGGCAGGAACUAUGGACUUGUGGAAGGAGCCCUGGUCAAGCAUUCAGCAGCUCCACACGGUUCAGUGCCAUCAGAAGUGCCAUAAAGAUCUGCAAAGACGAGAUGCCCCCAUGUUCUCGUUUUCAUCGGCUUGGAGAAGGACUCAAGUGAUAGUGACCCUCAGCUUUGAAGGACUUGAAGGAGUUAGGCAGGAAGAGAAAAGGAGGAAAGACAUGCCACCCCCACCCCCCAGACAGCCCUGAACACAAAAGCUGCCCUGCUGCACUCAGAGAACUGAAAACAGUUGAACCCAGCAGGAGCGCUUGGUGUGGGAGCCUGUGUCCACAGAAGAGAGUGUGGGUUUGGACUCUGACCCGCCUCGUGAGUCACGGAGGCUAAUGAAUGAGAUUCUUCUAUCACCUCAUGAAGAUGUCCCCAGUGGGAGGAAGAGUGGAACAAGCUGUCACAAACAUGAAUGUCCUCAUCGGGCUCAGGUUCUUAAAAGUCUGGUUUCCCUUCCUGAGGUGAUGCAGGCGUUUGGCAUCUUCACUGUGGUGAUAGUGUCACAGGUGUUUGUGUAUCUCCAAAGACAACAAACUGCACAGUAAGAAUGUGGAGCUCUGUGUGAUGGUCCUACCUAUUUCUCAUUGUCCUGAAGACAAGGCCUCAGUUUCUCAGAAGAGAUUAGCAGUGACCUGCUCAAGAUGGCUGCACACAGACAAGAGCUGAUGGCGGAUCAGCUCUGCCAGGGCCCAAGCAGAAGCUCCGGAAACCAUGCACUUUUUUGUUUAAGACCCUGUGAGUGCUAGAGCCACCCAAAAUGAGCAUUUAUUCCCUCUUGCUGAACUUUAUAGCUAAUGAUAUCCCUGGCUCGUCUUAAAGUCAGCAUCAGAAACCCGCCAUGUUAGCAUCACAGAAGUCCUGUCUCCCUUGAGACCUCCUGACUUGCUUCCUUCUGCUGGAACUUCUUCCCUCUUUUCAUCAUGGUAACUUACGCAUCCAGGUCUGGACGCUUCAAACCCAGCUUCCCCUACCCUCUUGCAUUGGCUUAGGUUAGGUUUAAAAACCAGGGCGUGCUUUUUAGAGCGGAGCUCCUUUUCUGGAGUCUUAGUGUAGCCUCUUAUUGUCUGCCCUUGAGAGCAGGGGUUGUAUUGAGUUACUUUGUAAACUCUUUGUCUAGAUAUUUAAUAGGUAACCCGGUGAUCAAAGAACCAAAUGAGUAAAUGGAUGGACAAAUAGAUACGUUAAGAAAUAAAGCCUGCGUUUCUGUCUGCUCAGCGAAAGGCAAAGAGGCACAGGAGUCUGACAUUGGGGAGCAUGGUGCCGCUACAAAUGUCUCAGUGACUUUGAUGUGCC